UCAAAAUGAAGCACGGGUUGAGGGGAGUCGCUUGUCACCAAGAACAGCGGCUACCGACGCUUGGAACGCCAUGCGCGGCGGCAAGGAAAGCUACGGCUACCUUCCUCGCUCCCACCCUUGCCGUUGUUGAUCACAGCCGCCACCGACACCAAUGAGCUCGUCGAUGACACCUGCACCCCUAGCCGUCGCCACCGGCCAUCAGAGCCGACACCUCCUUCCUCCUUCCUCUCUUCUUCCUUCCUUCCUUCUUUCUUUCUUUCUUUCUUUCUUUUCCUUUCUCUUAUCGACAUUUGGUCCCUGAAC
rnacentral:lncRNA from 1 species